UACGUAGGGUGCAAGCGUUAAUCGGAAUUACUGGGCGUAAAGCGUGCGCAGGCGGCUUUGCAAGACAGAUGUGAAAGCCCCGGGCUCAACCUGGGAAUUGCAUUCGAGACUGCAUUGCUGGAGUACGGAAGAGGAGGGCGGAAUUCCCGGUGUAGCGGUGAAAUGCGUAGAUAUCGGGAGGAACAUCAGUGGCGAAGGCGGCCCUCUGGUCCAGUACUGACACUCAAGUGCGAAAGCGUGGGGAGCAAACAGG
rnacentral:rRNA from 1 species